UACGGAGGGUGCAAACGUUGCUCGGAAUCAUUGGGCGUAAAGCGCACGUAGGCGGCUUGUUAAGUCGGAUGUGAAAGCCCUCGGCUCAACCGAGGAAGUGCAUACGAAACUGGCAGCUUGAAUAUGGAAGAGGGUCGCGGAAUUCCCGGUGUAGAGGUGAAAUUCGUAGAUAUCGGGAGGAACACCAGUGGCGAAGGCGGCGACCUGGGCCAAUAUUGACGCUGAGGUGCGAAAGCGUGGGGAGCAAACAGG
rnacentral:rRNA from 1 species